AGAUAUAACGAGAAUCUGUUUGUGCCGAUUGUUUAAAAUACUUUUUGUAUUAUUUAUGAUUAUGUCACAUUAUGUUAAAGCUUGACACGUUACCCACUAUUUUUAUGUCGAUAAGAUGUAUACACGUAUUUUGCGCAUUAAUGCAGCAACAAUAUUUUGAUUAGACUUUAGUGACGAAAAUGUCUUCGAUUUUUAAUAUUUUAAUCAAAGUAUGUUCACCUCGGUAAGAUUUAUUGGACCAACAGCUGCUGUUCUCUUCAUGAUAACAGAGGACGUAUUCUAAAAGCUUUCAAAACUGUCAGUCAUGUGGACGGCACAUGUUAUAAAUAACACCAACAAGGAAAGUUAGCUUAAGACUUGCAUAAUAUACUGGAGAAAUGAAAACCUACGUUAUUUUUGUGAUUCUUGUGAUUCACUGCUACUCAGUAUCCGCAGUACCUUUACCGUUCCCUCUUGGCCCCCAGGGCUGUGAAUACCAGGGGGAACUGUUCGCUCCAGGAGAUUCGAUUCCAGGUCUUUUUAGCCGGGAUGGAGACCGCUGUUCCGGAGCAACCUGCACUGAGACGGGGAGGGGACAGUAUAUGAUGAUAAACUGGGAAAGUCCGGAUUGUCCAACAGAAAGACCGAAAGCCAACAAACCUUAAAUUCUUAUAAACUAUUCGAAAGAUGCAUAUACUUGUAUAUUGGAGGGAAAUCACCGACCAGAUAUAUUGAUUGUAGAAGUUACGAUAUGAUGUACAAAUUAAUCGUAUAUUUGGAGAAAAUAAACACUUAUUUUUAUUAAAAUACG